rnacentral:rRNA from 1 species
UACGUAGGGUGCGAGCGUUGUCCGGAAUUAUUGGGCGUAAAGAGCUCGUAGGCGGUCUGUCGCGUCUGCUGUGAAAUCCCGAGGCUCAACCUCGGGCUUGCAGUGGGUACGGGCAGGCUAGAGUGCGGUAGGGGAGAAUGGAACUCCUGGUGUAGCGGUGGAAUGCGCAGAUAUCAGGAAGAACACCGAUGGCGAAGGCAGUUCUCUGGGCCGUUACUGACGCUGAGGCGCGAAAGCGUGGGGAG